rnacentral:lncRNA from 1 species
UGAAAUCUAAUCUCUAGAACUAUACAAUACACCAACCACUCUGUUUCAUAAGGAACUUCGUACGGACCUGAAUUGUCCAAUUUCAGGGACCAAUCGAUCUGAGAUUGAGUCCAAAACUUGGGGAACAACAUAACAUUGUGGAAGGAGUCAUUCGGUGGGUUUUGAGUGACGUCCAAACUCUAGAACCACGCCACACACCAACCGC